AAAUUUAAAAUUUUUAAAUUAUAGUAUUUUUGAUCUGAUAAAUUUUUAAUAGUCCUGAAAAGAAAUUAAAUAUAAAGAUAUAUGAGGGUUUCCUGUUGCAACACGAUAAGGUAAUAAAAAAGUUUAUUGUUAACUACCCAGAUAAUGAAGAUAGUUAAUAAAAUUUAAGUAAAAAGUUUCAAAUUUUUACUUAAAUUUUAUUAAAGUGAAAUUCAUUUUGUUCUUUUAUAGCUGGCUUAAUCACAAUAAUUCUUUUAGAAUGCGGUGGGAAACCCUCCGAAGUUAAAAGGGGUGAGCUCUUUUAAGUAAAGUUAACCACUAUAAAUAAAAUGUUAAUAUAAAAUUGAGAUAAAAUCCUUUAAUGUAUAUUGUAGUUUGUUAUAUAUUAAAUAUAAUUAAUUUUAAUUAAAAUUAAUUAGGUUUAACUUAUAUAAAUUAAGUUCAAAUUAAUUUUAAUUAAAAUUAAUUUGCUUUAAUUAGUAGAAGUAAGUAAUAUUUUUAUAGUAAAAAUAUUAUGUAUGAAUUAAUUAAUUUACUCGAUUAAAAUAUGUAGGUUUAACAAAUACUUAGCUAAAAGCAGUUGUUUUUAGUAUUGCCUGCCCUAUGAUAAAAGUUUAAUGGCCGCGGUAAUUUGACCGUGCGAAGGUAGCAUAAUCAUUUGCAAAUUAAUUGUUUGCUAGGAUGAAUGGUAAGACUUAUUUUAAGUUAUUAUUGGUUAAUAAAAUUGAAUUUAAUUUUUAAGUGAAAAAUCUUAAAGUUAAUAAAAAGAAGGAAAGACCCUAGGAGCUUCUGUAUAUAGUUACAGUUAGUUGGGGCAACUAGGGCUAAAAUUAAAACUACCCUAUAAGAUAUUAAAAUAGAGUGUAUUUUAAAGAGAUCCAAUUUUAUAUUGAUAUUUAGAAAAAGUUACCCUAGGGUUAACAGCGUAAUAUAGUAAAUUAGAUCUUAUAAUUUAUAGUGUUUGCGACCUCGAUGUUGAAUUAUUUUUCAUUAAGAUGCAGUAGUUUUAAUGGAUGGUCUGUUCGACCAUUAAAUUUAUCCAUGAUUUGAGUUCAGAUCGGCGAGAGCCAGAUCGGUUCCUAUCUUUUAUUGUUAUAUUAUAAAGUUAGUACGAAAGGACCACUUUAAAUUUAAU
rnacentral:rRNA from 1 species